CAGUCACACCCUCCUCCACUCCCUUUGCCUGCAACAACUCUUUCUUUCUUCUCACUACGAAACACACUCAAAUCCACCGCAAGAUCACCCCCUCUCUUUCCAGCACUACUUCAAUUUCUCCCUCUCUCUCCAUCUGCGGGUCAUUCAUCAAAGUUUCAGCCGGCAACGCCCGCAUUCAUCAAUUAGAGAUCCACUCAAAUGUCAUUGACAAGGAGAAGUUGAUGAUUGUGAAAAGAGACUGCAACACGCUAGUUGUAAAUAACAAUUGUAACAAGUGAAACUGUGUUACAUUCUUAAAUAUUCCUGACCUGUUUUGUUUUGUUUUUAAAUCUGUGCUAAGGUUACAAAAAUCUCCAACAUAAGAUCCGAAGAAGAAUGAAUUUCAAAUGAAUACUGACCACCUGCCAUGUCAUCUACAUCCCUUUCUCUCUCUCCUACAUGGCAAAAAAGCGCAGGAGGGAUUGAAAUUGAAUCCUGAAUGAACUUUUCUUCAGGUUUCUUUGAUUCGAGGAAGGAGAUGAAUACCGAUUACUAAUCAAUAAAAAUAACAUGAACACCCCUUGAAACCCCUAUGCUAGAAACCGGGAUCCCAAGUCCCUUCCACAAGGAGAACGAUCCCAUUAGAUCACGAGCCUAUUGGAGCAGUUCAUGGAAGUUUAAACGUAUCAAAAUCUUUUGGUAGCUCAAAGGCUAAAUAUCAUCUGCAUCUGGCCUGCAAUACUUCAAAUUUUUAGGUGUAAACUCUUACCUCCUUUAUUAUUCAUGUAAACGGUGAAGAAGGUGAUGUUUUUUUUA